rnacentral:rRNA from 1 species
GACGAACGCUGGCGGCGUGCUUAACACAUGCAAGUCGAACGGUAAGGCCCUUCGGGGUACACGAGUGGCGAACGGGUGAGUAACACGUGGGUGAUCUGCCCUGCACUUCGGGAUAAGCCUGGGAAACUGGGUCUAAUACCGGAUAGGACCACUGCCUGCAUGGGUGGUGGUGGAAAGCUUUUGCGGUGUGGGAUGGGCCCGCGGCCUAUCAGCUUGUUGGUGGGGUGAUGGCCUACCAAGGCGACGACGGGUAGCCGGCCGGAGAGGGUGACCGGCCACACUGGGACUGAGAUACGGCCCAGACUCCUACGGGAGGCAGCAGUGGGGAAUAUUGCACAAUGGGCGCAAGCCCGAUGCAGCGACGCCGCGUGAGGGAUGACGGCCUUCGGGUUGUAAACCUCUUUCAGCACCGACGAAGCGCAAGUGACGGUAGGUGCAGAAGAAGGACCGGCCAACUACGUGCCAGCCGCCACAGUAA